rnacentral:rRNA from 1 species
GAUGAACGCUGGCUGCGUGCUUAACACAUGCAAGUCGAACGGAAACGCCCCUGCUUGCAUGGUUACUCUAGUGGUCAACGGGUGAGUAACACGGGGGUGAUUUUCCCAGCACCUCGGGAUAUGCCAGUGAAACUGGGUAUAAUAGCCGAUAGGACGAUGGCUUGGCUGCCAUUGUUGAGAGUUGUUAGGUGUGGGAUUAGCUCGCGGGCUAUCAGCUUGUUGGUUGGGUAAUGGCCUACCAGGGCGUCGACGGGGAGCCGGCCUGAGAGGGGGUACGGCCAAAUUGGGACUGAGCUACGGGACAGACUCGUGCGGGGGACAGCAGUGGGGAAUAUUGCCCAAUGGGGGCAAGCAUGAUGCAGCGACGCCGCCUGGGGGGUGAUAGCCUUCGGGUUGUAAACUACUUUCGCUAGGAACGAAGCGCAAGUGAAGGUACCUGGAGAAGAAGCACCGGCUAACUACGUG